AACGUAGGAGACAAACGUUAUCCGGAGUUACUGGGCGUAAAGGGCGUGUAGGUGGUUUCGUAAGUCUGGCGUGAAAUUUUUCGGCUUAACCGGGAAAGGUCGUCGGAUACUGCGUAACUAGAGGACGGUAGAGGCGUGUGGAAUUCCGGGUGUAGUGGUGAAAUGCGUAGAGAUCCGGAGGAACACCAGUGGCGAAGGCGACACGCUGGGCCGUACCUGACACUGAUGCGCGACAGCAUGGGGAGCAAACAGG
rnacentral:rRNA from 1 species